UUGUUGGUAAGGUAAAAGCUUACCAAGGCUUCGAUCAGUAGCUGGUCUGAGAGGACGACCAGCCACACUGGGACUGAGACACGGCCCAGACUCCUACGGGAGGCAGCAGUGGGGAAUUUUGGACAAUGGGGGCAACCCUGAUCCAGCCAUGCCGCGUGAGUGAAGAAGGCCUUCGGGUUGUAAAGCUCUUUCAGCCGGAACGAAACGGUUACGGUUAACACCCGUGACUACUGACGGUACCGGAAGAAGAAGCACCGGCUAACUACGUGCCAGCAGCCGCGGUAAUACGUAGGGUGCGAGCGUUAAUCGGAAUUACUGGGCGUAAAGCGUGCGCAGGUGGUUUUGUAAGUCAGAUGUGAAAGCCCCGGGCUCAACCUGGGAACUGCGUCUGAAACUACAAGACUAGAGUGUGGCAGAGGGGGGUGGAAUUCCGCGUGUAGCAGUGAAAUGCGUAGAGAUGUGGAGGAACACCGAUGGCGAAGGCAGCCCCCUGGGUCAACACUGACGCUCAGGCACGAAAGCAUGGGGAGCAAACAGGAUUAGAUACCCUGGUAGUCCAUGCCCUAAACGAUGUCAACUAGUUGUCGGGCCUUUACGGGCUUGGUAACGUAGCUAACGCGUGAAGUUGACCGCCUGGGGAGUACGAUCGCAAGAUUAAAACUCAAAUGAAUUGACGGGGACCCGCACAAGCGGUGGAUUAUGUGGAUUAAUUCGAUGCAACGCGAAAAACCUUACCUACCCUUGACAUGUAUCGAAGCCCGCAGAAAAGCGGGGGUGCCCGAAAGGGAACGAUAACACAGGUGCUGCAUGGCUGUCGUCAGCUCGUGUCGUGAGAUGUUGGGUUAAGUCCCGCAACGAGCGCAACCCUUGUCAUUAAUUGCCAUCAUUUAGUUGGGCACUUUAAUGAGACUGCCGG
rnacentral:rRNA from 1 species